GACGAACGCUGGCGGCGCGCCUAACACAUGCAAGUCGAGCGAGAACCAGAGCUUCGGCUCUGGGGAAAGCGGCGAACGGGUGAGUAACACGUGGGUAAUCUGCCCUCGGCAUCGGGAUAGCCCGGGGAAACCCGGAUUAAUACCGAAUGGCCUCUCGCACUUUCGGGUGCGAAAGAAAAGGUGGCUUCGGCUUCUGGCCGAGGAUGAGCCCGCGGCCGAUUAGCUUGUUGGUGAGGUAAUGGCUCACCAAGGCUCCGAUCGGUAGCUGGUCUGAGAGGACGAUCAGCCACACUGGGACUGAGACACGGCCCAGACUCCUACGGGAGGCUG
rnacentral:rRNA from 1 species